UGGUUCUGGCUAGAGUCAGUAGAGUCAGAUCCCAGCUGCCCCCGGGCCCUCCUCAGCCUCCAUGGAUGAUUGAGCAGACUGCUCCAAAUUACCUUCUCCUAGAGGAAGCCUGGGCCUCAUAGGAGGGCCUGAGAUGGGCCCCUGAUAAGGCAGCUCGUCCUGUCUGGCUCCCAGUCCACACCCAUGCAGAUGGGCCUGUGGUGGAUGCCACCAAGUUCAAAGGCACUGUUCUCACAGGAAUGAGAAAAGGGUAAGAGAUGGAACUACCUUUGUGGUGUGUGUGUGUGUGUGUGUGUGUGUGUGUGUGUGUGUGUGUGUGUGUGUGUAGGUAUUUGCUGGAUUUUUCCUGUCACCAUUGUGUUUUCACGCACUGGAUGUAGAAUAUCUGAAAACAAUCCUCGGAAAUAGAGUCUUUCACCUACGGCCAGAGGCUGGAGCCAGGCCCAGCGUGGGGAGAGGUUAUGUUCCCCCAGUGGGAAUCUGGUGACUCCCGUUAAGGAGGCUCACUAGUGGGCAUGGCGGGGCUCUCGCAGCCUUCGCCCCCACAACUGGUGCUCUGAGAUCCCCUCAACCAACGAGGCCACGGGCUUUGAUGGGAAGUACCUUCUGCCCACCAGCUCCUUCCAUGGGAAAGCUUCACCUGGAGGCCAAACCUUAUCCUCUGACCCUGUAAUCUGCCUCCAUCUCAAGGUCUUCAGCUCGAACCCAACCUGAUAAUCAAGGCUAUCCCAGGGUUGCCAGGCUAGGGGUUGAAUAGGAGUUGCAGCUGCCGGCCUGCACCACAGCCACAGCCAUGCGGGAUCCAAGCCAGGUCUGCGACCUACACCACAGCUCACAGCAACCCUGGAUCCUUGACCCACUGAGGGAGGCCAGGGAUCGAACCCACAUCCUCAUGGCUACCAGUCCGGCUCGCUACCGCUGAGCCACCAUGGGAACUCCCCCUGGGCUCUUGAGAAGGUGCCUUGUGGUGGUGGCAAGCUUUUGGGGGAGACAGUCAGAUUUCCACCCAUCCUGAGGGUGAGGCUGCUGGGUGCUGGUGGUGGGGAGCUGACAAGCUCUGAGGCCAUAAGUAAGAGGUGAGGAGGUCCCCCCGCCUCAGGCCUGCAGUGGCCUCUUCUUUGGGAAAGGGGAGCACGUCUUUUACAGAGGCCUGCCUGGCGCUGGGAUGGAUCGCCCAGCUCCAGGGACCUCCCAUUUACAGCAAGUGCCACAGCAAUGCUAACGGGGGUCGUCCAGGCCUCUGCAGUGUGACCUCUCCUGAAAGCCAGGCCAAGCCCUGGGCCAACACCCACAGGCUGAAAAGGGGACCAGGAACCCUGAGAAGGAAAAACAACAGCAGCACAAAGAUUUGCACCAGAGGGAUGCUGACCAUGGUGAGCCCGUCUGCAGACUUUCUCAGCCAUUCUCUGUCGGCCCUGAGGUUUAAAGGAUCCAGUGCAGAAAAAUCAGGCUCCAAAUGUGCGGCCCAAACUGCCCCAAAGGUGCAGAACUCUUUUCUGCCCCAAACACCAGGCGGAACAAAUGCUGUUAAUAACCCCAGCCCUUCCCUGGUCCACUCGGGGGCUGCAGGGUUGGAGUCAGCUCCUUGGAUGCAGCCAGCUGUUCCAAACAGGUUUGGGAAAGUGAUCUUUGGCACAGAAUGAAAAGGGUGUGUGUGUGUGUGUGUUGCAGGUGGGGGGGACCCAAGAGUCCUCUAUCAGGGCCAAUAUUAUUUUUAAUUGCUGAGAAUCAGCCCGUGGUGGCUGUUCCUCAAGGCUGCGGAGCCCGGGCUUGCCAGGGAGAGGAAACCAACUUCAGAGGAGGUAAGAAAGCCGGUCCCAAGGACUCUUCAUUAGCGACCUGUCGUUUCUUAUGGAAAAUCAGGUGACGCCUGGGAGUUUAUACAAUCCUCUCCCCGGCACCUCUCCCCCUUUCAUUCCCCUGGAAAAGGGGAGCAGUGAAUUUGAGCAAUCUGGGAAUUUUGGUUUCUGCCCUGCCCCUGAAGCAUGACCGAUGGCCCAUUUUUCAAGCCAAGUCUCACCCCUUGCAGGCAGCUGUCAGGAAACCACAGAAGGUGCUUGGAGGAGCACGAGAAAUGGCUGGUUCUAAUCUGGAGAAAAAAAUGAAUUAACAAGGCAGCUACUUAUGGAAGAAUGUUUUCUUUUCUUCAGCCUCAGCCUGCAUAUUUUCACAACAUGUGUACUCUGUUACCUUGUCACUUCCCUGUUUUCUUUGGGUAAAUAACUGGGCUCUGGUCUUAGGGGAAAAAAAGAAAAAAAAAAAAGAAAGAAAAAGAAGCCAGCUCGCGAAGGAUCUCUGGGAGAGCCCGCCUGGCUGCACUGGAGGGAAGAGUGCGCAUGCUCCAGGGAUCAAACAGGCCCGUUGUGGGUGGGGCUUCUCAUUGAACUUUGCGAGUCGUGUUCGGGAUCGGUGGAGGGAGGGGAGCCUGCGCACUCAGCCGUGGGGCUGACGGGCCCCACGGCUGGGGAAAAUAAAGAACUUUUCUCCUUCGCCAAA